rnacentral:rRNA from 1 species
UACGGGGGGGGCAAGCGUUGUUCGGAAUUACUGGGCGUAAAGCGCGCGUAGGCGGCCUCAUAAGUCCGUUGUGAAAGUCAAAGGCUCAACCUUUGAAAGCCGAUGGAUACUGUGAGGCUAGAGUCCGGAAGAGGCGAGUGGAAUUCCUGGUGUAGCGGUGGAAUGCGCAGAUAUCAGGAGGAACACCAAUAGCGAAGGCAGCUCGCUGGGACGGUACUGACGCUGAGACGCGAAAGCGUGGGGAGCGAACAGG